AGGAGACUCGCUGUAUGUUUAUCGCCAUUUCGAAGAAGCGCAGACAGUCAUCGGUCGGAGCUCAGAGCUGAUCUGCUGGACUGAACAUACUUUCAGUUCAUAAAGAAUGAAAAGAUUGCUGACAAACUGCUGCUGGAAAUGCCUGCAGUUCCUUCGUCCACUAAAGACCUGGACACUGUCUGAUGGAUGUGGCUGACUGGCUGCUCUUGUUGUCUAAACUGAAGGGUGACGGAGCUGCGAGGAGGUCGACGAAGGACGGUCCUCUCUCGGUACACAUGUGAGCAAAGAUAUAUAGAACCACAGUAUCUGAGCAUCACUCUGAACUCCAGUUAAUCCAGUAUGGAUGGUUACAGUGUUUCCCUCCAGCUCCUGCAGUCUAACAACCUCUUCUCCAGCUGAGCACAGCAGACCUGGAACAGUAAGAUACAGACACUGUAACAGAGCUGAAACCAAAGCCAGCAAACCUGCUAGAAAGACUCAGCUGACUCAGAGCUGUGUGAGUUCAGCCGUCUGCUGUAUGAAAUGAACAGGUGAGCUAGAAAAACAACAGAGAAAAACAGCCAUUAAACAAGAGUUACAUGCAGUUGGGAAAUCCCUAAAAAUAAUUUUGGAUUUUUUGAAACUAGUCUGGACUCUCCUAAAAUUGAAAUUAUGAACUAAAUAAAUAAAUGGAAUAACUUG